rfam:Bacteroidales bacterium TBC1 DNA, scaffold: TBC1_scaffold_1.
GGGGAUGACCGGUUUUGACAGCAGGGAAGUGGUACUGUAAGCAUGCCGGGCGUUGGAAGCGUGGCCCGUUAAUCCCAACUUUCAAAGCCCUAAACGGCAACGAUUACAAUUACGCGUACGCCGCUUAAUCAAGAGGAUUAAGCCGCCUACUGCUCCCCGGGAAGCCUCGCGCGGCCGCGUCCUGACCGGAGCAUCGCAAAAGCCGCGAUAAGGCAGUUAAGGUCCCGGUGACUGCACGAAAACCAAAGGGAAUAAGAAACGGAUCGGGUUGUUUUCUCCCUGUCAGUUUACGAAAACCAACUGAAAACUAAGCAUGUAGAAAGCACUAUUGCUGCCUGUUUGGACGCGGGUUCGACUCCCGCCAUCUCCACAA